AUUUGGAAGAGGGAAUAAAGUAACAAAUAACAAGGUAACACAUCAUUUUUGGUGUUUGGACCUCAUCAAUUCAUGUGCACUUCUUGAGACAGUGCCCUGUGGAAACCUGUUUAAGUCACACACAAGGAAUUGCACAGAAUCCAGUAGUUGUCAAACUGAAGUUCUACUUUGUGAAGAAUUAACUUUGCCUCUCAAAACCAGCUGUGGAUCUGCAAAAUUACUUAUGGAUACCACACCAUAAUUGUGCCUAAAAUGGGAGGUACAUUGGUUUUGAUCUGGAACCGUGGCAAUCAUUCUUUCAUUCACCACAUGUAUCCAAGCAGUACCU
rnacentral:lncRNA from 1 species